rnacentral:rRNA from 1 species
UACGUAGGGUGCAAGCGUUGUCCGGAUUUACUGGGUUUAAAGGGUGCGUAGGCGGGUUAGUAAGUCAGUGAUGAAAUGUCAGAGCUCAACUUUGGCGCUGUUGCUGAAACUAUUAAUCUUGAGGAUGGUUGAGGUAGCUGGAAUGAGUGGUGUAGCGGUGAAAUGCGUAGAGAUCACUCAGAACGCCGAUUGCGAAGGCAAGCUGCUAAACCAUAUCUGACGCUGAGGCACGAAAGCGUGGGGAUCAAACAGG